rnacentral:sRNA from 1 species
ACCUCAGAGGGCAGCAGCUGGACUACCUAUAUUUGUGGCGCUACACCAACCUGAACUUCACUUCCUGAGACCUAAGAUUCAGCCCCGUGCUCAGCAGACAUCAGGGAUCACCUACUCUGUGCCAGGAGCUGUUCUUGAUGCUGGGAACGCAGGGGUGGACAAAACAGAGAAAGCCCUGCCCUCAGUGAGAAAUAUGCUGUCAUGUAAAUUGCUUUUUCCCCUAUAGAAUGCCAGCAGUUACUCUGCAGAGAUGAUGGAGCCCAAAUCGGUGUGUGUCUCGGUGGAUGAGGUGGUGUCCAGCAACAUGGAGGCCACAGAGACGGACCUGCUGAAUGGGCAUCUGAAAAAAGUAGAUAAUAACCUCACAGAAGCCCAGCGCUUCUCCUCCUUGCCUCGGAGGGCAGCUGUGAACAUUGAAUUCAGGGACCUUUCCUACUCGGUUCCUGAAGGACCCUGGUGGAGGAAGAAAGGAUACAAGACCCUUCUGAAAGGAAUUUCUGGGAAGUUCAAUAGUGGUGAGCUGGUGGCCAUUAUGGGUCCUUCUGGGGCCGGGAAGUCCACGCUGAUGAACAUCCUGGCUGGAUACAGGGAGACGGGCAUGAAGGGGGCUGUCCUCAUCAACGGCCUGCCCCGGGACCUGCGCUGCUUCCGGAAGGUGUCCUGCUACAUCAUGCAGGACGACAUGCUGCUGCCCCAUCUCACUGUGCAGGAGGCCAUGAUGGUGUCGGCACAUCUGAAGCUUCAGGAGAAGGAUGAAGGCAGAAGGGAGAUGGUCAAGGAGAUACUGACAGCGCUGGGCUUGCUGUCUUGUGCCAACACGCGGACCGGGAGCCUGUCAGGUGGUCAGCGCAAGCGCCUGGCCAUCGCGCUGGAGCUGGUGAACAACCCUCCAGUCAUGUUCUUCGAUGAGCCCACCAGCGGCCUGGACAGCGCCUCCUGCUUCCAGGUGGUCUCGCUGAUGAAAGGGCUCGCUCAAGGGGGUCGCUCCAUCAUUUGCACCAUCCACCAGCCCAGCGCCAAACUCUUCGAGCUGUUCGACCAGCUUUACGUCCUGAGUCAAGGACAAUGUGUGUACCGGGGAAAAGUCUGCAAUCUUGUGCCAUAUUUGAGGGAUCUGGGUCUGAAUUGCCCAACCUACCACAACCCAGCAGAUUUUGUCAUGGAGGUUGCAUCCGGCGAGUACGGUGAUCAGAACAGUCGGCUGGUGAGAGCAGUUCGGGAGGGCAUGUGUGACUCCGACCACAAGAGAGACCUCGGGGGUGAUGCCGAGGUGAACCCUUUUCUUUGGCACCGGCCCUCUGAAGAGGACUCCUCGUCCAUGGAAGGCUGCCACAGCUUCUCUGCCAGCUGCCUCACGCAGUUCUGCAUCCUCUUCAAGAGGACCUUCCUCAGCAUCAUGAGGGACUCGGUCCUGACACACCUGCGCAUCACCUCGCACAUUGGGAUCGGCCUCCUCAUUGGCCUGCUGUACUUGGGGAUCGGGAACGAAGCCAAGAAGGUCUUGAGCAACUCCGGCUUCCUCUUCUUCUCCAUGCUGUUCCUCAUGUUCGCAGCCCUCAUGCCCACUGUUCUGACAUUUCCCCUGGAGAUGGGAGUCUUUCUUCGGGAACACCUGAACUACUGGUACAGCCUGAAGGCCUACUACCUAGCCAAGACCAUGGCGGACGUGCCCUUUCAGAUCAUGUUCCCAGUGGCCUACUGCAGCAUCGUGUACUGGAUGACGUCGCAGCCGUCCGACGCCGUGCGCUUUGUGCUGUUUGCCGCGCUGGGCACCAUGACCUCUCUGGUAGCACAGUCCCUGGGCCUGCUGAUCGGAGCCGCCUCCACGUCCCUGCAGGUGGCCACCUUCGUGGGUCCGGUGACGGCCAUCCCAGUGCUCCUGUUCUCAGGGUUCUUCGUUAGCUUCGACACCAUCCCCACGUACCUACAGUGGAUGUCCUACAUCUCCUAUGUCAGGUAUGGGUUCGAAGGGGUCAUCCUCUCCAUCUACGGCUUAGACCGGGAAGAUCUGCACUGUGACAUCGACGAGACGUGCCACUUCCAGAAGUCAGAGGCCAUCCUGCGGGAGCUGGACGUGGAAAAUGCCAAGCUGUACCUGGACUUCAUCGUACUCGGGAUUUUCUUCAUCUCCCUCCGCCUCAUUGCCUAUUUUGUCCUCAGGUACAAAAUCCGGGCAGAGAGGUAAAACACCUGAAUGCCAGGAAACAGGAAGAAUAGACACUGUGGCCGAGGGCAUGUCUAGAAUCGAGGAAGCAAGCCUGUGCCCAACCGAUGACGCAGAGACUCUUCUGAUCCAACCCCUAGAACCGCGUUGGGUUUGUGGGUGUCUCUUGCUUAGCUGCUCCGCCCAGCUGGGUUGGAUCUUCUCUCCAUUCCCCUUUCUAGCUUUAACUAGGAAGAUGUAGGCAGGUUGGUGGUUUUUUUUUUUUUUUUUUUUACAUACAGAAUUUUAAAUACCACAACCGGGGCAGAAUUUAAAACUGCAACACAGCUGGUGAUGAGAGGCUUCCUCAGUCCAGUCGCUCCUUAGCACCAGGCACCGUGGGUCCAGGAUGGGGAACUGCAAGCAGCCUCUCAGCUGAUGGCUGUGCAGUCAGAUGUGUCAUGGCAGAGAGUCCGAGCACGGAGCGAUUGCAUUUUAUGACUGUUGUUUUUCAUAGUUUCAUCUUUCUAAGGUGUGUCUCUUUUCCAAUGAGAAGUCAUUUUUGCAAGCCAAAAGUCGAUCAAUCGCAUUCAUUUUAAGAAAUUGUACCUUUUUUAGUACUUGCUAAAGAAUGAUUCAGGGUAAAUCACCUACUUUGUUUAGAGAGGCGAGGGGUUUAACCGAGUCACCUAGCUGGUCUCAUACAUAGACAGCACCUGCAAAGGAUUGAAUGCAGGUUCCAGGUGGAGGGAAGAUGUGGACACCAUCUUCACUGAGCCAUGCAGAAAUUUUUAAAAGCUAUACAAAAAAUUGUAAGAAGACAUUGGCCAACUCUUUCAAAGUCUUUCAUUUUCCACAUGCUUCUUAUUUUAAGCAAAAUAUAUUGUUUGUUUCUUCCUAA